rnacentral:rRNA from 1 species
CGACUUGUACUGUGAAACUGCGAAUGGCUCAUUAAAUCAGUUAUGGUUUCUUUGAUGGUACCUUGCUACUUGGAUACCCGUAGUAAUUCUAGAGCUAAUACAUGCAGGAGUGCCCGACUUCGGAAGGGCUGUAUUUAUUAGAUAAGAAACCUUCUCGGGUUCGCCCGGUUGUGUGCUGAGUCAUAAUAACUGCUCGAAUCGCACGGCUCUACGCCGGCGAUGGUUCAUUCAAAUUUCUGCCCUACCAGCUUUCGAUGGUAGGAUAGAGGCCUACCAUGGCGUUAACGGGUAACGGAGAAUUAGGGUUCGAUUCCGGAGAGGGAGCCUGAGAAAUGGCUACCACAUCCAAGGAAGGCAGCAGGCGCGUAAAUUGCCCGAAUCCUGACACAGGGAGGUAGUGACAAGAAAUAACAAUACAGGGCUACUUCUAGUCUUGUAAUUGGAAUGAGUACAACUUACAUCUCUUCACGAGGAUCAACUGGAGGGCAAGUCUGGUGCCAGCAGCCGCGGUAAUUCCAGCUCCAGAAGCGUAUAUUAAAGUUGUUGCAGUUAAAACGCUCGUAGUCGGGUUUCGGGUCGGGCCGAGCGGUCUGCCGAUGGGUAUGCACUGUUUGGCGCGGCCUUCUUUCCGGAGACCGCGGCUACUCUUAACUGAGCGGGCG